AUACUUACCUGGCAGGGGAGAUACCGUGAUCGCGACGGUGGUUUUCCCAGGGCGAGGCUUAUCCAUUGCACUCUGGAUGUGCUGACCUCUGUGACUUCCCCAAAUGUGGGAAACUUGACUGCACAAUUCCUGGUAGUGGGGGACUGUGUUCACACUCUCCCCUA
ensembl:snRNA U1 U1 spliceosomal RNA